CGGGCGGACGGGUGAGUAACGCGUGGGUAACCUGCCUCAUACAGGGGGAUAACAGUUAGAAAUGACUGCUAAUACCGCAUAAGCGCGCAGUACCGCAUGGUACGGUGUGAAAAACUCCGGUGGUAUGAGAUGGACCCGCGUCUGAUUAGCUAGUUGGUGGGGUAACGGCCCACCAAGGCGACGAUCAGUAGCCGACCUGAGAGGGUGACCGGCCACAUUGGGACUGAGACACGGCCCAG
rnacentral:rRNA from 1 species